ACAAAGAAGUAAAUAAUUACAUUUAGUUUCGACCUAAAAAUAGGAAGUAUCCCAUGUU
rnacentral:tRNA from 1 species